AGAGUUUGAUCCUGGCUCAGGACGAACGCUGGCGGCGCGCCUAACACAUGCAAGUCGAACGAGCGAGAGAGAGCUUGCUUUCUCAAGCGAGUGGCGAACGGGUGAGUAACGCGUGAGGAACCUGCCUCAAAGAGGGGGACAACAGUUGGAAACGACUGCUAAUACCGCAUAAGCCCACGGGUCGGCAUCGACCAGAGGGAAAAGGAGCAAUCCGCUUUGAGAUGGCCUCGCGUCCGAUUAGCUAGUUGGUGAGGUAAUGGGCCCACCAAGGCAACGAUCGGUAGCCGGACUGAGAGGUUGAACGGCCACAUUGGGACUGAGACACGGCCCAGACUCCUACGGGAGGCA
rnacentral:rRNA from 1 species